rnacentral:pre_miRNA from 1 species
CGCGCGAGUACACAGUUGUUUCAGUGCGCCCGGACGGCGGCAGUACGACGGCGGGACACGCGCCGUGGCCGCCUCAGGUACUAGGUGACUCUGAGUGGCGU